rnacentral:lncRNA from 1 species
UAAUAAUAAGAAAAUAUAAAACAUUCUUUUGUGUAUCCCACUUGGAAUAUCCUCUAAAGGUCGCGGCGGAAAGGGAAAGUGGGCGCGCAUUAGUGAGGAAAAGGGAGGGAGCGAGGAAAGGAGGCGAUAGUGUAUAGCAAUAAAUGAGAAAUAGAGAAUUGAUGAAUAGAUUGGAGAUAAAAAAUUAAAAGUCUGGUGGAGGAAAUGAAAAGGGCCAUAAUGAAUAAUUGGAGAUAGAGAGGUUAGGAUUGUAGAUGGUAGUGGGACCAUUUAAAUAUAUUAAUUAGAAGUUUGAUAGUCGAAUCAUUUGCAUUAAUUGAAAAUAUAGUGAGACUAUUUAAAUACACUAAUUAAAAGUUUGGUUAGUGAGACCGUUAAAAUAUAUAUUGAAAGUUUAGUGAAAGAAAGAAGAAGGGUCACAUGCUAGUGAGGGUGAAGGAGAACUUGCCACGUAGUAACAAACAUUGGAGAUUCAUGUAGGUUAAUAGAUAUAUUUAAUACUUCAUUAAUCUAUUGGUAGUGGAAUCCAAAU